GGUAGAAUGGCUGAUUAAAGCGAUAAAUUGUAAAUUUAUAUAUGGGUUUUCCUUCUAUCA
rnacentral:tRNA from 1 species